rnacentral:ncRNA from 2 species
AACCUAUCGAGAGUGACAGAGAGACGGACUCAAUGAAGUCACAGCAACCUAAAAUACUGUUAGGUGCUAAUUUCCGCAAGAGAGGGAACAUUUCCCUGUGUGGCAAAACCCCUCUUGAAAGAUGGGAC